rnacentral:rRNA from 1 species
AUUGAACGCUGGCGGCAGGCCUAACACAUGCAAGUCGAGCGGAGCUGCGGACGGGUGAGUAAUGACUAGGAAUCUGCAUGGUCGUGGGGGAUAACGUCCGGAACCGGGAGCAGAUAUCGCCAACUAUCGGAUGAGCCUAGGGCGGAUUAGCUAGUUGGUGGGGUAAGGGCCUACCAAGGCGACGAUCCGUAACUGGUCUGAGAGGAUGAUCAGUCAAACUGGAACUGAGACACGGUCCAGACUCCUACGGGCGGCAGCAGGGGGGAAGAUUGGACAAUGGGCGAAAGCCUGAUCCAGCCAUGCCGCGUGUGGGAAGAAGGUCUUCGGAUUGUAAAGCACUUUAAGUUGGGAGGCGUUACCAACAGAAGAAGCACCGGCUAACUUCGUGCCAGCAGCCGCGGUAAUUC